rnacentral:lncRNA from 1 species
GGAGUGGAGGCGGGGGGGAAGGUGUUCGGGUUCAGGAAAAUGAGAGGGGAACUGAGAGGGGAAGUGAGGUUAAGGGUAGGGGGCGGGUCAUCGUGACGUAACGGCGCUUUCUUAUUGGCGCUAUGGCUGUGUCGACGAUGCGCUUCCACUAUAUAUACAGUAUAAGGCGCGAAUGUCUUGUGGAAUGAGGCGUUGGUGUGUUUUCUGUCGUCUUUGUUUUGAGAUGGAGUUGGUUUUUCCAACUGGAAGGACAGAGAAUGCUCAGCGAGGAGGGGAGAUACCUGCGUUGCACCCAGCUCUCCUUUCUUAUAACACACAACACUUCGCACCCAGGCCAGGAUGCCUUCGCUGCCAUUUAAGACUUUUCCGGCAGAAAGCCCAUACUAUGAAAAAGGAAAUGAAGGUA